rnacentral:rRNA from 1 species
UACGUAGGGGGCAAGCGUUAUCCGGAUUUACUGGGUGUAAAGGGAGCGCAGACGGUAAUACAAGUCUGAAGUGAAAGCCCGGGGCUCAACCCCGGAACUGCUUUGGAAACUGUAUAACUAGAGUACCGGAGGGGUAAGCGGAAUUCCUAGUGUAGCGGUGAAAUGCGUAGAUAUUAGGAGGAACACCAGUGGCGAAGGCGGCUUACUGGACGGUAACUGACGUUGAGGCUCGAAAGCGUGGGGAGCAAACAGG